rnacentral:rRNA from 1 species
GACGAACGCUGGCGGCGUGCCUAAUACAUGCAAGUAGAACGCUGAAGGAAGGAGCUUGCUCUUUCCGGAUGAGUUGCGAACGGGUGAGUAACGCGUAGGUAACCUGCCUGGUAGCGGGGGAUAACUAUUGGAAACGAUAGCUAAUACCGCAUAACAGUAGAUAUCGCAUGAUAUUUGCUUGAAAGGUGCAAUUGCACCACUACCAGAUGGACCUGCGUUGUAUUAGCUAGUUGGUGAGGUAACGGCUCACCAAGGCAACGAUACAUAGCCGACCUGAGAGGGUGAUCGGCCACACUGGGACUGAGACACGGCCCAGACUCCUACGGGAGGCAGCAGUAGGGAAUCUUCGGCAAUGGACGGGAAGUCUGACCGAGCAAACGCCGCGUGAGUGAAGAAAGGUUUUCGGAUCGUAAAAGCUUCUGUUGUAAAGAGAAG